rnacentral:lncRNA from 1 species
AUUCGACCACUUUGUCCUUGGGACUGGGCAGCUGGGCCAGCUGGGGCCGGACCAGGGCUGGUCCCGUGAUUGUGUCUACUUCUGCCCUGUCCCCUGCACGCACCGUAACUGCAUGGCUAUGACCCCGCCCUCAGCGUCCGUCUCUGCACCUCUUUCUCCUCAUGGCUCCUGGGUGGGGAGAGGCAGAGGGAGGAGAGCAGGCCCAGCUUGGUGGGGAGGUACG